rnacentral:rRNA from 1 species
AUUGAACGCUGGCGGCAGGCCUAACACAUGCAAGUCGAGCGGUAGCACAAGAGAGCUUGCUCUCCGGGUGACGAGCGGCGGACGGGUGAGUAAUGUCUGGGAAACUGCCUGAUGGAGGGGGAUAACUACUGGAAACGGUAGCUAAUACCGCAUAACGUCGCAAGACCAAAGAGGGGGACCUUCGGGCCUCUUGCCAUCAGAUGUGCCCAGAUGGGAUUAGCUAGUAGGUGGGGUAACGGCUCACCUAGGCGACGAUCCCUAGCUGGUCUGAGAGGAUGACCAGCCACACUGGAACUGAGACACGGUCCAGACUCCUACGGGAGGCAGCAGUGGGGAAUAUUGCACAAUGGGCGCAAGCCUGAUGCAGCCAUGCCGCGUGUAUGAAGAAGGCCUUCGGGUUGUAAGGUACUUUCAGCGGGGAGGAAGGUGUUGUGGUUAAUAACCACAGCAAUUGACGUUACCCGCAGAAGAAGCACCGGCUAACUCCGUGCCAGCAGCCGCCGCGGUAA